UGCCAGACUCCUACGGGAGGCAGCAGUGGGGAAUAUUGCGCAAUGGGCGAAAGCCUGAUGCAGCGACGCCGCGUGAAGGAUGAAGUAUUUCGGUAUGUAAACUUCUAUCAGCAGGGAAGAAAAUGACGGUACCUGACUAAGAAGCCCCGGCUAACUACGUGCCAGCAGCCGCGGUAAUACGUAGGGGGCAAGCGUUAUCCGGAUUUACUGGGUGUAAAGGGAGCGUAGACGGCGAUGCAAGCCAGAUGUGAAAGCCCGGGGCUCAACCCCGGGACUGCAUUUGGAACUGUGUGGCUGGAGUGUCGGAGAGGCAAGUGGAAUUCCUAGUGUAGCGGUGAAAUGCGUAGAUAUUAGGAGGAACACCAGUGGCGAAGGCGGCUUGCUGGACGAUGACUGACGUUGAGGCUCGAAAGCGUGGGGAGCAAACAGGAUUAGAUACCCCUGUAU
rnacentral:rRNA from 1 species